UACGGAGGGUGCGAGCGUUAUCCGGAUUCACUGGGUUUAAAGGGUGCGUAGGUGGGCAGGUAAGUCAGUGGUGAAAUCUCCGGGCUUAACCCGGAAACUGCCAUUGAUACUAUCAGUCUUGAAUACCGUGGAGGUAAGCGGAAUAUGUCAUGUAGCGGUGAAAUGCUUAGAUAUGACAUAGAACACCAAUUGCGAAGGCAGCUUACUGCCCGAAUAUUGACACUGAGGCACGAAAGCGUGGGGAGCAAACAGG
rnacentral:rRNA from 1 species